GAGGAGGGAAGGAGAGAGAGAGAGCGCAAACAAUGUCAUUUUGUACAGGAGGCAAUGCUGCAGUCAACUUUGCAGCACCAUGAAGGCACAUCAUCACACCAAGAGGCUCGCUGAAGUUUUCCUGCUCCGUCACCGCUGAUGCAGCCCGACCGACGAUCGUCUGCAGGAGCAGCCUCGUGCACCCGGCCGGCUGCUGUGCAGGAACAUGCCUUGACUUGUUGCAGUGACCAAGUGCAAAAGAGACAGAGAGCAGAGAGACGCAGGUGGCUUUCGGUCAAAGCCUGCACAACACCUGUGGACAACGGCCGACUGGUACCAAAGGUGGACUGGGGAGCUGGUUUACUGCCUUGGGAGAUGCGUGCAUUGCGGUGAAAUCUUCUGCGGGAUCAGACUACAUGGAGGGGGGGUAACCUUGACCAGGACAUCAGUGACUAGCGGACGACCGCAGAGCGCUCUUUCGUGUCCAUGUCCUGUCAGCAAGCGGAGUCCUCGGGGAGAAGACCAUAUAGAAUAGUCCGACGGACAAAAAUAGCACUGCAGAGAUCGCGGGGAGACUUUUAACUGAUACCUCUUUGCUGAACAACACUUAAGCAUUUGCUUUACAUGAGGAGAGCAGCAAUCUGAACACACCGCUACAAAUUGAGAGAGCACUGAUCAUCUUCUACUUCGAGAGCUCAUCAUAGUAAAAAGUGCCAGCUUUCAUGCCACUCUCGAGGAGAAUGGACCAGUUGGCAGAACUACUGGCUGCUGUGGGUGUUUCUCUGGCAGUGUCUUAGCUGGUUGUUGUGAGGAGUGAGAACGAAGCAAUCAGCAAGUAUACUGCCGCAGAAAUUCUUUGCAAUAAGAGUCCUCAGCAAUGACAUUGACUCAUGGAGGGGGAAACCUUAAGCUGCUUUGUAUCGACCAUCACAUUAUGGACCAAGUUGUCACAUGAAGACAUAGUCGAAAUAAACAUGUGAGUAAUGACGAACUGAAUACAUUCUGUUGGCUCAAAGCUUGCGUUGUAGUUUGUGGAAAAAAAAGUCUUCUGCUGCCAUCUGAUGGCUAAAAGAAGCAUGGAUUUAAAAUGACUAUUUGCUGAUGUGUGUUUUAUGUCCGUCUGCCUGAAAUUGAUUUUCACAAUAAUUCCAUGUAAAUUCAGUCGCUUUGAUUUAUAAAUUUGUGCUGAUUUACCAAGUAGUCAAAACAAUUUGUCCAGUUGCUAAAUCUAAUAAGAUCCAAUUCAAGAGCUGUAUGUUAAAAUUAGCUUUUACAAAAUGAAUAAUCCUUCGAUAUAAUUGACACAGUCCAGAAAAUGUUAAUUAAACACAAUACUCAUUAAC